rnacentral:misc_RNA from 1 species
UCGCUGAAACCCGAGUCACAUGACCAAGAGCAAUGGCUGCUGAGAUCAAGCCACUCCGGAGCUCAGGCCCGACCAAGGCUGUGAGUACAGACAAGCCAGUGCUCGUGUCCAAAAUCGAGGGCAGUGGCGACGACGUGAAUGCAGCGGUGUUGAUAGAUUCGGGCACUGGGGUGAUCUCCGUGAGCGAUGACAAGUCAGUACGCAUAUGGCAGCGACGGGACUCGGGCCAGUAUUGGCCAAGCGUUUGCCACUUUUUGCCUUCGAUACCCAGUUGUUUCCACUACACACCUGACAAUAGACGCAUGUUCAUAGGCCUCGACAAUGGCACAGUCACGGAAUUUGAAGUAGCGUCCGACUACAACAGCAUCAGACACAAGCGCGACUACCUAAGCCACCAGAACCGAGUGACGGGCGUGAUCUUCUGCCCCUCUGCAGAAUGGGUCCUCUCGGUUGCGCGGGACAAGUUCUUCGUCUACCACUGCACGGAGAGCGGGCGUCGGCUGGGAGGGCAUCAGUCCUCGGGCUGGUGCACGGCUCUCCAGUACGACUACAAGAGUAAACAUGUUUUUGUGGGCGAUUACAGUGGACAGAUUACUAUGCUCAAGUUGGAGGAGAGCGGGCCACAAGUUAUUACUGUACUUAAGGGACACAAUGGCUCCAUUAGAUCACUCGCCUGGGAUAUAGACAGACAGCUACUCUUCUCGGGCUCCUAUGACCAGUCAGUCAUUGUGUGGGACAUCGGAGGAGGGAAAGGAACGGCCUUUGAACUGCAAGGACACACGAGUAAGGUAUCAUCACUUGUCUACGGGACUGUAAGUCACCAGCUGAUCUCAGGCGGAGAAGAUGCUACUGUUGUAUUCUGGGACAUGAAGGCUAACAGACAAGAGACACCAGAGUGGAUAGAAGCUGAUUCUUGCCAAUACUGUGACCGUCCCUUUUUCUGGAAUAUCCGUGCCAUGAUGGAUCAAAAACAAAUUGGGCUGCGGCAACACCACUGCAGAAAAUGUGGUAAGGCUGUGUGUGACAGCUGCAGCAGCAAGCGAUCAACUAUCCCAGUCAUGGGUUUCGAGUUUGAUGUUCGAGUAUGUGAUAAUUGCCAUUCCACCAUUUCUGAUCUGGAUGUUAGUGGAGAAAAGCGGGCAUCACUUGCAAAGUUUCACGAGGUGAAGCACAACAUUGUUUGUAUGGACUUGGACGAAGAAGCAGGUCUUCUCCUCACUGUUGGGCAAGAUCGAGUAAUGAAAAUGUGGGAUGUCUCAAGCUUGCUGAAUUGAUCUGAAGUGUAUGUCUCCUUUGGAUCGUAUGAUUCAUUGUCCCGCGCUGAGGUCCAAGUGCUGACAGCAGCUGAUCUUCGCAUUCCAUGACUACUUAUUGUGUGUAAUGAUGAUAUUGUAUGUGAAUGAAAAUAAGAACCAUUUAUAAUCCUCCUCAUAAUGCUGUCACGUUCCAUAGGCCUUACACAAGUUAUGGACUCUAAAUUUGAACAAUACUAGAAAUUUAUUGCCUUAUCAUAGGCUGUAUUUGUGUAUUUGUGAUACAUUAUUUUUGUAGUAUUUUAUUUUUUGACUUGUUUCUGUUCAGAAGAAAUUUGGUUUUGCAUUAAGUAUAUUUUCAGAGGCUGUGUAAGUUUUUGGACAAUUUUUUUUGACAAGACGCACAUUAUUGCUUCGGUUGAUAGAGAUACAGAGAGAAAGAAUGAAAAAGAGGUAUUGAUCUUGCAAAAAGAGAAGUGCUGGUGGUAUAGCCUUAUCGCCCCUCCUUGUAGCUAUGUCGACGGACCUGAGGUGUGUGUAAAUUGUCUUAUGCAUUACUGUACUUGCAGAUGAACUCAUUGUGUGAAAUUGUACUCUUGUCAUAAGAAGGACUGGUGUAACAUCAUUCAAAUCUUUGUCAUGAUAUAUAAUUCAGUGUAAGUUCUAUAAGUUCACAAGUCGAUUUUCCAACAUAGAUGUGUUGAUUUCUGCGAGAAUAAUUCAACAGCUGUAAUUUGAACAGGUGAUAUAUUUUUUAGAUUAUAUGAAUUGAUAUUUAUAGGAAUUAUAUUUUUAUGUAUAUUGGCUUAGGAAGAUGUAACACAAAAAGGUGCUACCAUCUAAAAGAUGUAGAGCAAGUUUGAAGUCAUAUUGGACAAUAAGUAGAUUUAUAGAAGAGGAAUGACAUUUCAGGAGAACAAUUUUUAGUGUUAUAGUUGUAUAUGAUUUUUUUCUCCUUUCCUUUCUUAUAAUAGAUGAAAUUUAGAAAGCCCUUUUUUCUGCUAUGAUUUUUUUUUUCUUUCUCUUUACUCAUGGUUUGAAUUGUAUAAAAAAAAAAAAAAAAUCCAAGAUCACAGGUCAAAGAUUCUCUAAUAUUGAGAUUUUUUCUUCAAAAUUACCUAAAUUCUUUGACCAAAAUAGAAAACAAAGGUCCUUCUCCACUGCCAACAACUCAGUGGGUGCUUCUAUUGGCAUCUGAUAUUGUGUGUUAAUUUUUUUCACUUUUACUUUUCUAAAAUGACAUGUGACAGUAUAACUCUUCUGUUUUAGCUUUAUUGUGAAUGGGGAACACUCUCUUCUCCGUUUCCUUAUUCUUUUGUUUGUCUUUCAUAUAACCAUCUGUAUAUUGGAUAAUAGGCGUGGUGUAUAGGAUUCAUGUGCUAUGCUGCCUCAUCAAGGUUGAAUAUCGAAUAGCACUGAUGAAAGGUCUUCUCAUGAACCCAAACAAUGGGAUCGUUUCUGGAUUGACGUCAAGUUACCACUACCAUCUCUACAAAUGUUAUGGGACUGUAUUCUUUGGUAUCUGCUGAAGAAGAAAGUAACGAGUGUGUGUUAUUGAGACCUUGUUAAGAAGAGAGGGUCAGCUAUAUUAGAUACGAGUGCAUUUGUGCAGCAGCAUUUACACAAUCUGUAAGGAAUCACUUGAGAUAUUUUCCAUGACUUGAAAGAUGCAGGAGAAUUUGAUUUGGGAAGUCCUUAUCACUUAAUUGUGUCAUUACUCAUCUUGAUGUGUGAGUUUUUUUAUUAUAAUUAUUUUCUUAGCUGUUCCCAUGAAAUGGCCUCUGCUACAAGAAAGGGAGGAGGAGGAGGAAAUGAACUAGUCAGCUCUGCCAAUGGAGAAAGUGGUAGCUAGUCAGACAAAAGAGUGAUAUUUAUUGUAUGGUUCCUUUAAACCUGCAAAAGUUAUUAGUACUGUAGAUCCAUUAUUUUUUUCUCCUUUUGUGGUUUGGUUACUCUUUUUCUUGUUGGACAAAAUUUAGAGGAGUUGUGGCUUACUCUGCAAAGUUAUUUAAUGCUAAUAUGGUCUUUUAUCUUUUAUGUGUAUAUGAUUGAUUCAGCAUUAUGUGAUGGAGAGUUCUAGAUUAGAUUACAUUUCUGGAAAAGGUUCUUCAAAAUGGCUCUUGUUGUUUCGAUUCUUUUCAUUUUUUUUUUUUUUUUUUUUUUUUUCCUGUCUGAAUUCUUGCAAGUGAUACUGAUUAAUACUGCACUCUCUCAUUAAAAUGUUAUAUAUAUAUAUACACAUAAUAAAAUAUUGUGAUUGAAAACAAAUAAAAUGGAGCUGUGUUUCAAAGGUUGAUAUGUAUGUAAUGCAUCUGUUUGUGAAAUAAUGAAAUUUUUUUUUCCUUAGAAGAGUAUAAAAUAAUUGAAAUUUUUGGAGGAGAUUGUUGUGGUCAUGAAUGCAAUUGUUGCAAGAAUAAUUUAUCCCCCCUGAUAGCAAGGGAAAUAGCAGGUGUUUAAAGCUGGAGACAAGAAUGGUAGAAAAGUUGGAUGUUGUUCUACCUGCAGAUUUGAAGGGAAUAUAAGGGUACGUUGUGGUUUUUCUUUAAAUAAGAAGUCUUCACAGUGGUGUUGAUUUUCUUUGGAGAUACAUCAUGUCGUAAGGUGGCACCUAACCAGAAAGAUUUUGAUUUCUCGUGCAUCUUUUGGUACUGAAUUAUCUUAUCCUGUGAGCAGUGGUAAAAAUGGGUUUCCUUAAUGGUGCAGUUAAGAUAUAUGAGGAAUUCUCUAAUUAUUUAAACUGGGUUUUGACUGCCAUUAUUCUUACCUUUUUCAGCUUUGUAUUCAGCAUAAUUGUGCCUUUGAUAGUUUUUUGGAUAGCGUAAUAUCGGACUCGGAAACCAGUCCUUUUGUCUUUUUCCCCGUUUCUCACUCAUUUCGGAUAUAAGUGACGGCAUUGUUUAAACACGUGUGAACUCCAGUUUCACAAAUCUCUUUAACAUCAGUAUGAUGGACUAGGCAGUGGCUUUGCCCUUUUCAUUAGUCAUAAAGCUUAGAUUAUUAGCCUGCAUACUCUGUUCAUGAUACUUACAUAAUAGAUAGAUAAAGCUUUUGGAGUCACAGCACUGCUAAAGGCAUUAAUUUUUUUUUUUUUUUUUUUCAUUUUUUAAAAAUUAUCAUCAUCAAUUGUUGAAAAACUAGAUGUGGACCACAUUGUCCAUUUAUUGUGCACUUUUUCUUAAAUAUUACCAGUUUUUAACUAGUAAAGGGCCCUUUACGUGACUUGGAAGAUGCCAUCAUUGUAAGGCUCAUAGCAAUUAGUUAAUUGAUUUCUUAGGCACAUUUGAUCAUGAUUUUUAAGUAUUGAAUCUUACCCCUUUAAUAAUGAAUAAGUGUUAACCAAAUUUGGUUACUUCAAUCUGAAGUGAUUGUCUAGAGCAUUUGACAGGUAAUUUAUUGUAACUUCCUCCUAGUAAAUGAAGUAAAUGAUAGAUCUUUCUUCAACCAGACAAUAGUUAAAACUGUUGGUAAGGUUUAGAUUGUAAUUUGUGAUAUUUGGUUUAAGUUCUUUGCCAGUAUUGUACUUGUAGUGUAGGAUAGCUGUUGUAUGCAGGAUGAGCUUAGUCUGUGGAACUGAUUGGGCUUAGAAAUUACUUCAUUUAUAAGAGAAAAAAAGAGAGGAAGAAUAGACAAAAAGAAAAAAAAGAAAAAAAAAGGGAUGAGUACCCUUACUUUUUUUCUUCAUUGCAUUUUUAUUCAAUACAGUUUUAGUUUCCUUGCAUUUCCUCAGUUUCCAAAAUUAUUCAUGAUCGUUGACUGCACACAAGACAGUAGCUGAAUAUAGUGAAAUUACAUUGAUCGUCAGCUCAAUUAUGGGAAAAAAAAACAAAAAGAAAAAUUCAUGAAUACACUGAAUAAAAUGAGAAAUGUGGUGCUGUGUUACAAGGCCUAAAUGUCUAGAUGAAUGGAGUAACACAUUAACCAGAUUUAUUUGAUUUAGUAUUAUAUAUAUAUAUAUAUAUUUUUUUUUUUUCCAUGAUUUACUUUGAAAGAGGGAGGGUUUGCAUAGAGAUUAGUAGCUUGGAUGGGAAAACAGAGAGACUAUAUUAUGUAGACUGAAUGCAUUACUUAUGUGUAUAUUUGUGAAUGAUUGAAUGUAGUAAUUUGUGUGUUCAAUUUUGUGCUUUAUGAAGUUGAUGGUUAUAUAUUUUUUUGUUCUUCGGGUCAGCCUCAUAUUAAUGUAAAACUUUUGCAUGGUCACAGGGUCGCAUUUGUUGGAUAUUCAGUUUUCGAAGAGGGAAGUAUGUCUCUGCGGCAUUGUUGAAUUUAUUAAUUCCAUGAUUGUAUUGCAAAGGGGAAAAAUGGCAUGGUGUUUGCUCAGCAGUGACACUGAGGGGCUUGUAUUUUGCUCCAUGUAUAGGUCACAAUUCUUUUUUUCUGCAAGGGAAAGAUCUGCAUAUUACAAUGAUUUACAUAAUGGCCAUUAUAUGUUGGGUAAUUUUAUACUUCUCAUUUGUUUUCUGUUACUGAUCUUAUUCAAGAUUCCUUGUGCAUCUUUAUUUUUGUUAUUUAGAAACCUGUAAUUGCAGAAUUGAUCUUUUUAUAUGAAUCUAGGGGUUACACUUAUCUUGUAUUUUUGUGAUAUAUCAUUUGAUUUAGUCCUUAAUUUGUGCUGUUAUAAUUAAAGUGUUGAAGAUAUUUGAAGAUCUGGUAAAUAUAUGUUAAAGUGAGAUGAGUGUACAUAUGUAUGACCAAAUAUGUAUAAUUUUCUAUGAGGAAAAUAAAUGUUUAAGGAAUUGA